CCAGACUCCUACGGGAGGCAGCAGUGGGGAAUAUUGCUCAAUGGGGGAAACCCUGAAGCAGCAACGCCGCGUGGGGGAUGAAGGUUUUCGGAUUGUAAACUCCUUUUAGUAGGGAAGAUAAUGACGGUAUCUAACGAAUAAGCACCGGCUAACUCCGUGCCAGCAGCCGCGGUAAUACGGAGGGGGCAAGCGUUACUCGGGAUAACUGGGCGUAAAGAGCGCGUAGGCGGGAUGUCAAGUCAGGGGUGAAAUCCCCGCGCUAAACGUGGGAACUGCCUUUGAAACUGGCAAACUGGAGUGUGGGAGAGGAUAGUGGAAUUCCAGGUGUAGGAGUGAAAUCCGUAGAUAUCUGGAGGAA
rnacentral:rRNA from 1 species